AUUGAACGCUGGCGGCAGGCCUAACACAUGCAAGUCGAGCGAGCGGCGGACGGGUGAGUAAUGUCUGGGAAACUGCCUGAUGGAGGGGGGUAACUACUGGAAACGGUAGCUAAUACCGCAUACCAUCAGAUGGGCCCAGAUGGGAUUUGCGAGUAGGUGGGGUAACGGCUUGCCUAGCCGACGAGCCCUAGCUGGUCUGAGAGGAUGACCAGCGAGACGGGAACAGAGACACGGUCCUGACUCCUACGGGAGGACGCGGUGGGGAAUAUUGCACAAUGGGCGCAAGCCUGAUGCAGCCAUGCCGCGUGUGUGAAGAAGGCCUUCGGGUUGUAAAGCUCUUUCAGCGGGGAGGCGUUACCCGCAGAAGAAGCACCGGCUAACUCCGUGCCAGCAGCCGCGGUAAUAC
rnacentral:rRNA from 1 species